CGCAGGAGCUACUGCUGGCAUUGGAGCAGUUAUGAAUUGCAGUAGAAGUGGCGGUUCGAUUGGAAGAACCGAGUAUGUGAGAUCGUAGUUCAGUUGCGGGGUAUUCCGUUAUGAUACCGUCGACUUCAAGUCCAACAAUGUACAGCACUCUUUUAUAAGCAGGAAUGUUCUGGAAUUUGGACAGUACCGACGUAUCAUCGGAUUGAAUUAGGACUUGUUGAGUUGCUUGCUUGUCAAAAGUGGCGUUGCUCAAGGCACUGCUAACAGUAGUUACUAUGUCAAGACCCUUCUUCGCGGCUAGGGUUUCUUGGGAACAAGUUAUUGUUACCCAAAGGACUUACCAAUUGAGCUGAAAUAAGAAAGAUUUACUGUCAAACAAAUUCUCGUGACCUUACAGAACAUUAUGCAGAACGAAGAAGAGGCUUACGCUGCAAUGUCUGAAUUUCACUCCAUGUGAGAUCAAACGAAAAGAUUCCGGCAGCUGGUUGAAUUUCCGGGAUAGUGGUUGAUCGAGUAACGAAGGCAGUCAUUGCUGUUGUAUCUCCAGUAAGAUCUGCAGAAUCCAAACAAAAAGCCACACCAUCCUUCGACAUUUGAACCGAGCAAUCUAUAAUGUCGGAUCCAUCAUCUAAAGCUCUUUGGUAAGAAAGAUCUGUGCAGCCAGCAUAAACUCCACUUGCCCCAUUGUGAGAUAUGAUCAUAGGUCCACCUGCAAUCAUUUUUCCACGUAUCAAAAUUAUUAAUCUGCUAACUAAUCACUAGUUUUAAAAUAUUGUGAUACAAUGAAUAUGCAUUAUUUGUCAGAAUAUAACAAUCUUACCCUUUCUAGGCAGGUCAACUUCACUGAAAUUUGCAAAGCAUGCUGCAUAAGAAGAAUCAUAAAGAAUUUUAGAAUCGGAAGUAGUCAAAUACGCAAAAGAUAGGCUGCGGAAUCCAUUGAUUAUUUCUUACCAAGAGCUGCUGAUGCUGUAGGCGGAAAAUCUGUGAUCAUUCCAUCGAUAGCAAACUGUUUGUUAUCGAUAAACUGCAAGUAUUCAGCCGUUGGAUCGUAGCUAUAAUCGUAGACUCCGACGUAGUCAUUCGCGAAACCAGACGUGUAUACUUCUAGACCGAGUUUAUGAGCAUCAGGUACAAGACUGGUUGCAUUCUUUUCUAAAUAGUUGGCUUUGGUUACAGGCCAUAUGUAAUCUUUAGGAACCGCAAUUCCAGCAGCAAAUGACUUAACCGUGGCUAGAUUUUCCAGUAUCGAACCAUAAGUUUGGUUGGUUGUGGGUUCAAUUGCAGCUUUGUCAAGGAAAGUGAAGAUGAGCUUGGUGGUUUUGCUCACUUUUCCGUUCAUCGACUUCAAGAAACCAAUCUCAGGACUUGAAAGAACAUAAACUGAAUCCAGAAUUUACCUGUGACAUUGCUCAAAAGCUGCUCAGAUGUGAAAUCCAGAGAGAACCAGCCAUUAACAUCCUUGCCAUUGACAUUAUAUGUUCUUGAAUUGUUAGGAAAAACCAUAUCGAUAUUUGUUGUAUUAUCAAUCCUUAUAUCUGAUUGGCAUAUUCCCUUUCCGUCUUUUGUUAGUUGUAAAUUACAUAGCAUCACAACAUCUGGUACGCUCGAAAGAGUCAUGUCGAUCGCAAAGUCGGAGGAUUCAGGGAACACCCCUGAAAAACCACCACGCGCCACCACCAGCGGAGGCUGACCUGCCAUACAAAAUAUGAAAAUAUUAUGUAAAACUUAUUUCUUUCUUUCAAAGAUAAAACAUUACGUUGCACGAAAAACUUGUCGAACCAUAACGCUUAUGAUUCCCCGAAUAUAAAAAAUGUCACUUCAUACGUCCAUAAAGCAUUACAAAUUCAAGAAAGCAAAUUCUGAUACCGUUUAAAGUCAGCCAUUUCUUGUUGGAAGCUGGAGGUUUUUGAACAGCUUGAGCAGUUGCAUGGAUCAACAGUGAAAUGAGAAUCAAACACCUGAUCAUUUUAUUAUGCUUCUAAUCCUGUCACAAU